CUGCCUCAGUCACUCAGAAUCCAACAUCUGGUCACAUGUACUCAACUGGCUGGAGAAUACGAUCUUCUAACCUUGGAUGGAUCUGUGAGUCCAUGCCAGCCUCAUGCUGUAACACAGGUACAGAGCAUAAUUGCAUCAUUGUUUUUCAAAGAUUAAGCUUUGUUUCAUCAAGAUUUGUUUUGCAGUAUUCAUUUCAUUGCUUUCUUUUUAAUUUCUCGCUGCAUUGUUUGGUUUAUUUUGAUUACAUAGUUUUUUUCCUUUUGCUUCUAGAUACCAUUGAGUAUGUCCUUUCUUCCAUUGUACAUCACUGUUGAAGGAAGCUGAGGCUGAGUCAACAUCAUCUUGGGAAGCCUUUCUAGGAACACUUCAUUUAUUACCAUUUGCCAUGUAUUUAUUACUUGAAUGCUAAUACUGAUAUUUAUGUUAUAUCCUGGCAUUUUUAGAGAAAAGCCACUCAGAAUAAAAACAUUUAUGUGUACAUUUCAAUCGAAACAAUACAUCUAGACUUUUUUUUUGCUAUUCCUGACUACAUAUCCAGUUCAACUGAAGUACCUAUGAAAGUAAUUUAGAGAACUGAGAUAUUGAUUCAGCACCACAUUGCAUGAAUUUAUGUUUUUUCAAAUUAAUUCCUUUCUUUUGCCUUUUUUUUUUUUGCUGCAAAUUUCCUUUUUUGCAGAUUCAAAGACAGCACAAAGAAUAAUUGUGCUUAGUUAUUUUCUCAAAUGACCUAUUUCUGUUAUGCAUCUUUAAAGUUUUACUGCUGUAAAUCUUUUUGUUUUCAUGAUGGUUUUGAUAUUAUGAAUGUCUUGCAUGUUUUACUAACUUUUUAAAGGAUAUUGGGGGGGAAAAAUGUUGGUGUAAAAUAAAAGCAACUUCAGUAAGUGUUAAGUGUGCCAAUUUAAGUUUCAGCAAUAUAUAAAACGACAAACUAACUGGUUGGAUUUUGUUAUGGGGCAGAUGUUGCUUCAGCGACAUGGCAAAAAAACCUCUUGUAUGUGAACUUAACACUAUGUUGUAAAUAAACGUGCUCUGAAGAAGCAUUCUUGUCAUUUGUA
ensembl:lncRNA